rnacentral:misc_RNA from 1 species
AAGUCGUAACAAGGUUUCCGUAGGUGAACCUGCGGAAGGAUCAUUAAUACGCUUUUGUUUGUAACAAAACAAAACGUUUUAAACCCCAAAAUUGAAAUAGUGGAAACAUAACUUCCGGAUGCGAAUGUUGGAGAACUUGAGUAAAAUCGGUUCUUUGAGAAAAGGGACUUCAAGCAAUUGACACUUCAGAGUAGAGCAGUGAGGUGAAACUCGAAAGAGUUUGGUUCUGAAAAACAUUUGUAUCCGGUUAUCAAAUCUGUUCUACCAAAAUAUAAAACAAUAAACCCCAUGUACAACAACUUGAACUAAACAUUUUUUUGUUGUCUGCUUCGCGGCAGAUGUGCAAAGAAAAAACCUGAACUUAAGAACAACUCUUAACAAUGGAUAUCUUGGUUCUC